AUAUUUACCUGGCAGAAGAGACACCGUAAUCAUGAAGGUGGUUUGCCCAGGGAAGGUUUAUCUACUGCACUCCAGAUGUGCUGACCUCUGAGAUUUCCCCAAAUGUGGGAAACCAGCCUUCAUAAUUUGUCGUAGUGAGGGGCUGUGUUCAUGCUGUCCCCAA